AAUGGACCAUUCUGCCCUUCUAUAAAGACGACGUCGUAUCCCUAUUACUCUCCAAAACCCCUCUUUCCUCCCUCCUCUCUCUGCAGUAGAAUGUAAACGUAAGUCUCUCCUUCCUCUCUUUAGGGUUUGGUCGUCCUCCUCCAUUGUGCUCUCCAUCCUCGCAAGACUUGCCCUUUCCUCGACGCCCGACCUUGUUCCCCAACUUCCAUCCCCUAAUCGGCUCCCUCUUUCUACCAGACACGCUAGCUCGGGUCUGUUUCGAUCGUUGUCAGGGCCUUGGAACUUUGAAUUGAACUUUAGUAUGUGGCAUGAGAAGAGUACUUCUGAAUGUUGACAUCAUGACCGAUUUGCUUUUGAGGUCCGAUUUGGAGCUUAACUUGAAUGUUACUGUCUUCCUUGUUGAGGUCUAAGAGUUGCUGGGUUGUCAAUUCAGUUUUUUUUUUUAAUCACCACAUGUAUAGAGUUCUUUUCUAAAUACUUGGACCUUUUGAUGAAUUUAUGCUGAAGAUGCAUUAACAUUCUCAUUUUUAUGAUAUUGGCUUAUUAGUUUGUUGAUACCAA